UAGGUGGAAUCUACUUUUAAAAGUUUUGUAGGGUGUUUUUAUAUUUUGGUAAGACUUAUGUCAUAUGUGGAAAGAGAUUGGCUAGUUACAUCAUUUCUGAUCAGAGCUGGUUUCUGAAUGUUAAUUCUCUGUAUAUUUGUUUGCAAAUCACAAGCCGCAGAGUGCAUUUAUCUUCAAAUUGUACACAAUUUUGAAGAUCAGUCAAUUAUCUGACAAUUACAAGAAUCCAAACCAAAUAUUUCCCUGUGUUCAUAAUAUGUAGAGGGAGAAAAGAACUGUAAUUGAAACUGAGAGAUAUUGAUGGAUCUUCUGAAUUGAAAAAUUCUCGUAUGAAAGAUUUUGAAGCAAGACAGUAACUGAACAAAUUUACGAUUUUAUUUGAGAAAUCAGAAUUAUCUUUUUGCCCUAGACCAAUAGAAUUUUUAAUUUUUUUAAUUAUUAUUUUCUAAUUGUGAAUCAUCCUAACAUCAUAUCAACUCUAGAAUCUUUUUAAACCUUUGUUCAUUUGAAGUGUUAAAGUUGGUUUCAGAUAUGUUAAAAGCCGAAAUGACAAGCAGUUGUGGAGCAAGAAACAUGAGGAUGAGACAAAAAACUGUGCUCCCGAAGCCACAUCUAAUGGACUCUCAAUUGUUCCUUGUGGUCUCAUCGCAUGGAGUUUGUUCAAUGAUUCAUAUGGAUUUUCAAUAAAAAAUAAGAUGGUCAAGGUCAGUAAGAAGAACAUAGCUUGGGAGAGUGACAAAAAGCAUAAAUUCGGGUCAGAUGUUUACCCCAAAAAUUUCCAGAAUGGAGUUUUAAUUGGAGGUGGAAAACUUAAUUCUAGCAUACCUGUGAGUAUACCUAUAUCUCUGUUUUGUUUAUAUGACAUUAUUUCUAUUCUAGUUUUCAUUUUCCCUAUUACUUCUUGGUUGAAUUUCUUUCAGAAUAAGAGUUGCUCAUUACUGGAUUGCAUGUAACAGUUGAGCAAACAAGAGGCUCUUAUAGUAUGGAUGCGUACUGCAGCACUGCCAACUUUUAGGAAACUGUAUGGAAGAAUAGAAAGUGAUAUUCAAGCCAAUGAUUCAGUUACAGUCAUAAUUGAGAACAAUUAUAACACUUACAGUUUCGGUGGUAAAAAGAAGCUGGUUCUUUCAACCACGACUUGGAUAGGUGGAAAAAAUGAUUUUUUGGGCAUAGCAUAUAUUACUGUUGGUGGAUUAUGCCUGUUCUUAGCAAUAAGCUUCAUACUUGUGUAUGUUGUCAUGCCAAGGUGAGUAAAUGGUCCAAAGUCAUACUUAUUGCAAUUCUUGCUCGAGUAAACUACCAUUUUCUUCCGGGAUGAUAGAUUUAAUUUCCCUCUUAUUUGUUACUUGAAGAGAUAAUACUAGCUUGGGAUAACCAGGAAACUUGAAUCCUUACCAAUCCAACCUCUCAUAGAAACUCGGGAAAAAAUUAACAUGAUAUUGCUGAUAAUGCAAAGGAUUUUAUUCUUUGGAAGAUAAUAUAACUUCUUGUGUCGUGUUGUUGCAAAAACAAACUGGGUAUAUAGUGUUUGAGACGGUUUUUAUGUUAUUUGCAGGCCACUUGGGGAUCCAGCUUUCUUGUCUUGGAACAGGCAUCCAGCAGGACAUCAGAUAUAGGUUUCUCACUGUAUAUAUUCCGCAUCUAUCUUCAAUUGUCACAAUUAUUCCUUGCGUCCGUGGUUACUGAGUAACUGUAGUUUUUACAUUUGAUGAUGGAUGUUCUUAUUUGGAAUGCAAAAUUGUUUUUCUCAAUAAGAAAAACAUUUGCUUUUUCUUAACUCUGUUAAAAUUAAAUUACUUUGACAUGGAUUAUUGUUGAAACUGAGAGAUAUUGAUGGAUCUUCUGAAUUGAAAAAUUCUCGUAUGAAAGAUUUUGAAGCAAGACAGUAACUGAACAAAUUUACGAUUUUAUUUGAGAAAUCAGAAUUAUCUUUUUGCCCUAGACCAAUAGAAUUUUUAAUUUUUUUAAUUAUUAUUUUCUAAUUGUGAAUCAUCCUAACAUCAUAUCAACUCUAGAAUCUUUUUAAACCUUUGUUCAUUUGAAGUGUUAAAGUUGGUUUCAGAUAUGUUAAAAGCCGAAAUGACAAGCAGUUGUGGAGCAAGAAACAUGAGGAUGAGACAAAAAAC
rnacentral:lncRNA from 1 species